UGAGAGUAGCGCUAACAGUAAGGCAAG
rnacentral:piRNA from 1 species